GGAGGUCUGAGCAGAGUGAGGCAUGCAUUUUGUUCAAUCCUCUUCAAAAACAUCAGGACCAGGCAAGAUUGUGCAACGAAUAAUUAACUGCAUGUUUUCUACUUAAGCAGAGAAGACAGCAUAAAAUACAACUGAACCAGCAAACUACUCCGGUGUUUAUUUCACUACACACAACACAACGCAGAGG